UACGUAGGUGACGACGUCGUUCGUUCGAUUCUGGGCGUAAAGAGCGCGCAGGCGGUCGUUUCAAGUCGAGUGUGAAAGCCCCCGGCUCAACUGGGGAGGGUCAUCGAUACUGAUCGACUCGAAGGCAGGAGAGGGAAGCGGAAUUCCCGGUGUAGUGGUGAAAUGCGUAGAUAUCGGGAGGAACACCAGUGGCGAAGGCGACUACCUGGCCUGUUCUUGACGCUGAGGCGCGAAAGCUAGGGGAGCAAACGGG
rnacentral:rRNA from 1 species